rnacentral:rRNA from 1 species
ACGAACGCUGGCGGCGUGCCUAAUACAUGCAAGUCGAACGCUUCUUUCCUCCCGAGUGCUUGCACUCGAUUGGAAAGAGGAGUGGCGGACGGGUGAGUAACACGUGGGUAACCUACCCAUCAGAGGGGGAUAACACUUGGAAACAGGUGCUAAUACCGCAUAACAGUUUAUGCCGCAUGGCAUAAGAGUGAAAGGCGCUUUCGGGUGUCGUUGAUGGAUGGACCCGCGGUGCAUUAGCUAGUUGGUGAGGUAACGGCUCACCAAGGCCACGAUGCAUAGCCGACCUGAGAGGGUGAUCGGCCACACUGGGACUGAGACACGGCCCAGACUCCUACGGGAGGCAGCAGUAGGGAAUCUUCGGCAAUGGACGAAAGUCUGACCGAGCAACGCCGCGUGAGUGAAGAAGGUUUUCGGAUCGUAAAACUCUGUUGUUAGAGAAGAACAAGGACGUUAGUAACUGAACGUCCCCUGACGGUAUCUAACCAGAAAGCCACGGCUAACUACGUG